CGGAAAAUGUACUUAUCAGUUUACUGCUAAAUAUAUACGUAAUAUUUAUAUCAUGUAUAUAUUUUGCAGAACACUGAUUGGUCUAUUUUCAUGUCUUUUGGUUUGACUGAUCAAUGUUCCCCUAUUUUCUGUCCCUAAAGAAGUUCUUCCAUCCAAACAUUUUUUUUUCCUUUUUGACAAAAGUGACUCAUCAAAAAACAGAUAUUUUCAACAUGUACAAGUCUAGCUAUUGAUAUGUAUUUUUAAAUAAAACAAACUCAUUACCAAAGCUCAACAACGAUAUCUUAAUGUUAGUUUAUAGAAAUCUUGGCAUUGCCAUACAUUUUCCAUAGGGUAACAAUUGAUUUACUUUUCCAGAACGUACACCAUUUAAUAAAAAUCGCAUGAACCUAUUUUUAAAUAAGAUGCUCCAUUUUCAUUAAAAUUAUAAAUUAAAGGUUUGGUAAAUUACAUUAAAAUCAAGUUCAAGCAAGGCAAAGUCAGGGAAAACAUUGCAAAUUAACAGGAGAAAUAUAAAUAUUAUUUAAUUUCUCUUCUUAAUUUUCACAACUCGCAAAUACAUAUUUGUUCAAUAUAAGGAUAAGUAAAUCUAAUAUUAAAAACCUGGGAAAUAACAGUUCCUCUUUAAGCUAUAUUCCAAGCUGUAUUUUCAUAAAUUUACAUAUUGACAUAUUUAUCUUAAAUAUGCG